rnacentral:rRNA from 1 species
ACUAGUCGAGUGACACUGCGCCGAAAAUGUACCGGGGCUAAACAUAUUACCGAAGCUGUGGAUUGUCCUUUGGACAAUGGUAGGAGAGCGUUCUAAGGGCGUUGAAGCAUGAUCGUAAGGACAUGUGGAGCGCUUAGAAGUGAGAAUGCCGGUGUGAGUAGCGAAAGACGGGUGAGAAUCCCGUCCACCGAUUGACUAAGGUUUCCAGAGGAAGGCUCGUCCGCUCUGGGUUAGUCGGGUCCUAAGCUGAGGCCGACAGGCGUAGGCGAUGGAUAACAGGUUGAUAUUCCUGUACCACCUAUAAUCGUUUUAAUCGAUGGGGGGACGCAGUAGGAUAGGCGAAGCGUGCGAUUGGAUUGCACGUCUAAGCAGUAAGGCUGAGUAUUAGGCAAAUCCGGUACUCGUUAAGGCUGAGCUGUGAUGGGGAGAAGACAUUGAGUCUUCGAGUCGUUGAUUUCACACUGCCGAGAAAAGCCUCUAGAUAGAAAAUAGGUGCCCGUACCGCAAACCGACACAGGUAGUCAAGAUGAGAAUUCUAAGGUGAGCGAGCGAACUCUCGUUAAGGAACUCGGCAAAAUGACCCCGUAACUUCGGGAGAAGGGGUGCUCUUUAGGGUUAACGCCCAGAAGAGCCGCAGUGAAUAGGCCCAAGCGACUGUUUAUCAAAAACACAGGUCUCUGCUAAACCGUAAGGUGAUGUAUAGGGGCUGACGCCUGCCCGGUGCUGGAAGGUUAAGAGGAGUGGUUAGCUUCUGCGAAGCUACGAAUCGAAGCCCCAGUAAACGGCGGCCGUAAC